GUUUCAAUAAACUUUCGCAACUUACGAUAUCGUAGAAUUCUCUCGUAAGUCUACGAGACGUAAGAAGCAGUCGUAGUUACGUCGAAAACAAAAUGGACGCCGCGUAUGUUGUGCAUAUAGACGCCGAAUAAGAAGCUUUUGGCUCCGUCUUUUUAUCGACGACAAUACAGAGGAAGUAAACAUGUUGUUUUUUAUCCCUUGAUUACUUUCUGCAAAAUAUUUAACGUUGGAAUCAAUAUGUCAGUUACUGCCCUUUGUUUAUAUUCGAUAAGGAUGAAUAAAUCAAAAUAAAUUGCAAUUUAUCAUACGUGAAAACCCUAUGUGUUUAUUAUGUGUGGUUUCAAUUAUAUUGUUCAACAGCAGUUGAAGUAUAUGCGCUUCCCGCCGCUCAAAUUAUUGUGCAAUGAUUAAUUUUGCUGUAAGCUUUUAUCUCCAUUGCAAUUUGCAUGUGAUUUCGGAAGUUUUUUUGUUCGGAUAAGUACUCAAUGGAGCCUUGUUUUUUAUUGGUACUCAUCACUGACAUCAGUUAAAGAUUUUUGGCCAAAGGAAACAUCUAUUCCAAGCUGGCAGAUCUUCAUGGAAUCAGCAGAUCAUCUUUCGUUAAUUGACAUGCCUUCAGGAGUUCAAUCAGCAAACAUAUGAUCGGUUUCCAGUCUGUGUACAACAACAAACUUGCAUGAAGGUUGGAUUCUGCCACAAGGCCCGGGAGCAGUGGAUGGGACUCUCAUACCCAUAAUACUGAAUACGUUAUAUUACACACAUGCUCUUGAACACAGCAGGAACUCUUGAAGAAAAAAAUGUGUAUUUUUUUAUUCGAACUUAAAUGUAAAAUAUAUAUUUAAUUUUAGCUCGACAAUACCUUGAAUGAUAAGCUGUGUAUAAAAUUAUGGUAAACAUGCAACAUCCUUAUAUCACUGUUUCUAUUACAUAUUUUCAUUAAAAGCACUUAUGUAUUCAGGGUCAUUAUGUCAUUGUGAGGUCACUGACCAAGUUGCUUAUCUCUGACCUGCAUUUAGCUUAAUAAUGCCCCUUUUGUACUUAAAAUGUUCCACUUAAAUUGUGUGUACAGCUUCUCCAUAUCCCUAUAUUUUCCACAGAUAAUCCUUCACAUAUGUCGUCAGAUUUUUUUUUAAUCAUAUAAAUUAUAUUUCUUUGGGUCACUGUUAU